GACCAUUUGAAGGUUAAGGUUAAGGUUUAAGCUUAAGAAUACUGAGACCCAAGAUGUUAAAAAUAACUUACAAACCUAGUAAAUGGUGGAUCCAGGAUUACAACUGAAGUUGGCUUAACUCCAAAGCUCAUGCUGUGAAGCACCAUGCUGCACUGUCUUUCAGAAGAGCAAAGCUUGCAGGGACCUCUCCUUGAUGGGUCGAAAGGUCUUUUGUACAAAUAAUUUGGGGGGCCCGUGGGAAGAAGAUAUUUGAAUAACGUGCCACAAGUCCAAAUCCACCACCUCUACAGAGCUCUUUGCCUUUGGGCAUGUCUCUUUGCUUCUGAUUCCCAUCACUUUUUCUCUUUUCUUUUACUUUGAUUGACUGUUCCAAUAGCCCUAUCAGCAUUGUGGGACUUAACUGAGUAGCAGAGCCUGGAAACACCUCAUUGCAUCUGAAACCUAGAGAAGACGCUGGAUGUAAGACACAUACUUACAGCAACAGCCACUGACAAGAUUAUGAUACAGAAUAGAGAAGAGGAGCAAAUGCAAAGAUGAUUCCUUUGACAAGAUGAAAAACGGUACUCUAAUACACCUGCUUUGUAAGUCUCUAUUUUCACACAUAGCAGGCUUGUUUACAGCUGGCUAAAGAUCUGCUGCACAGCAGCACUGACCCCACUGCAUUCUUUCUACACCAAUAAAUUUCCUCUGCUGCCUCAUUCAGAUAGCCUAGCUGCUGUUUAGAGUGAAAUUCUUCCACCUUCAAGCAAGAAUCAGAGGUUCUUUCAGGCUUCACACAAUAAUAUGAUGAAGAGGCACGCUGAAGGUGAAUAAACACUAAUUUGUUUGCGUGUGAAUAAGGCAUCAUUUAUGUAGCAACUUCUACAGAUUGGGUACUGGAGAUUUUUCCAAAACGAAUAAUGCUCCUGCUUUUGAGCUUACAAUGUAGUAGGAAAGAUAAACAGAGUGUGAUAAGUGACAUCAUAAAGGCACAAACAAAUUCCUGUGAGCACAAAGUGGAAAGCCCCUGAGCUGGAAAAUAGCACUGAGGUGGUUUCAUGAAAGAGGAAGCAGCAAGGCUGGGCCUUGAAGAACGUGAAGGAGUCACCCAGCUAGAGAGGGCAGGAGGGUGUUCCACGAAGUACAAACAUCAUGAACAGAAAGUCAAAGAGUGAAAGUGAAGGGAGGAUUGGGGAGCAGUGAACAGACAAUGUGAGAGAGCUGCGGCACCAUGGAGAAGAGUAAUGAGAGGGACAUCCUGAAGGAAAGACAAUAUGAAGGACUGUCGAUGCCAAAGAAAGGACUUUCAGCCAUAUGCACGCAAUGGGGAGCAAUGCAAGAUUGUCAACCAAGAGACUGAGGUGACCAGAUCUGCUUCACAGCAGCAGCAGCAGCAGUGUACAUGGAAGAUUAGAGGACCGAGAGAGAUGCAUGUCAGGAAAAUCAGCUAACAGACUCUAAAAUAACUAAGACUUGAGAAAGAUCUGGAUCAAAGCUUUAACAGCAGCAAUAAAGAAAAAAGAAGAGACAUUUCUGUAAUCAGAUCUAGAAAAGUUGAUGACCCCCAGGAUAACAGCCAUGAAAGUGCUGCUACCACAAACAUGAGGAAACUUCUGUUAGGAGUUCAACCUUCAGAGAGGACAGCUGGCAGUGCAAGAUGGUGACAGCCCUGCAAUCAGGAGAAGAAAGUCAUGAGACCUGUUUCUCCAGGUUUCCCGCCUCCUUCCACCUUCUGUACAGGACACACCAGUUCCCUCAAGCCCAAAAUGUGAGCAGCUGUCAUUCUCUGCAUAGCCAAGCUCGGCAGUCUGCCGAAAGGGACAAGCCAGUCCCGCAAAGGAAUGAUGUAUGCCAAAAGAUACUGCAUUAGGAUCUU
rnacentral:lncRNA from 1 species